rnacentral:rRNA from 1 species
GACUACCGGGGUAUCUAAUCCUGUUUGCUCCCCACGCUUUCGUGCCUCAGUGUCAGUUACAGUCCAGAAAGCCGCCUUCGCCACUGGUGUUCCUCCUAAUAUCUACGCAUUUCACCGCUACACUAGGAAUUCCGCUUUCCUCUCCUGCACUCAAGUCUUCCAGUUCGCGAGGCUUACAAUAGUUGAGCUAUUGCCUUUCACCACACGCUUAAAAAACCACCUACGCACUCUUUACGCCCAAUAAUUCCGGAUAACGCUCGCCCCCUACGUAUUACCGCGGCUGCUGGCACGUAGUUAGCCGGGGCUUCCUCGGGAAGUACCGUCAUUAUCUUCCUUCCCGACAGAGCUUUACGACCCAAAGGCCUUCUUCGCUCACGCGGCGUUGCUGCAUCAGGCUUUCGCCCAUUGUGCAAUAUUCCCCACUGCAGCCACCCGUAGG